rnacentral:tRNA from 1 species
GAAGGUAUAGCUCAAGUGGUAGAGCGCAUGCUUAGCACGCAUGAGGUCCUGGGUUCAACCCUAGUACCUCCU